ACAUGCACAUGCAAUUUGUGUAUGUGUAUGU
rnacentral:misc_RNA from 1 species